UAGCUCGGUGGUAGAGCGGUCGGCUGUUAACUGACUGGUCGUAGGUUCGAAUCCUGCCACC
rnacentral:tRNA from 1 species